CCCCCAAGAGUUCACAUCGACGGGGAGGUUUGGCACCUCGAUGUCGGCUCAUCGCAUCCUGGGGCUGUAGUCGGUCCCAAGGGUUGGGCUGUUCGCCCAUUAAAGCGGUACGCGAGCUGGGUUCAGAACGUCGUGAGACAGUUCGGUCCCUAUCCGUCGUGGGCGUAGGAAAUUUGAGAGGAGCUGUCCUUAGUACGAGAGGACCGGGAUGGACAUACCUCUGGUGUACCAGUUGUCGUGCCAACGGCAUAGCUGGGUAGCUAUGUAUGGACGGGAUAAGUGCUGAAAGCAUCUAAGCAUGAAGCCCCCCUCAAGAUGAGAUUUCCCAACUUCGGUUAUAAGAUCCCUCAAAGAUGAUGAGGUUAAUAGGUUCGAGGUGGAAGCGUGGUGACACGUGGAGCUGACGAAUACUAAUCGAUCGAAGACUUAAUCAAAAUU
rnacentral:rRNA from 1 species